ensembl:lncRNA
GGAGACCAGAGGUUAGCUUCACUUUUUAUAUUAAACUCUGUUGUUCGGGAAUUUGAAGGGUGUAGUUAAAUGAAGGUGCUGCUUCUGCUGGGCUCCUCUCCCCUGUCCCCGCCUCCUUCCAGGCAACAGCUCACUGGUGUGUCCGUGUUUAGUUUCCACGAGUGGAGCUUGUUGUUGGUGUGUUUGAAGAAACUGUAGAAAGUGUGUGUGAGCUGAGCAGCAUGGAUCAGUGUGAGGACAGAGAGGAGGGAGCCCCUCCCUCUAAAAGAGCCAGAGAGAGCCAGACCAAAGCUCAGAGGGACCAGCCUGGACCUCCACCCAGCUCUGUGUCCUUACAGAGUGGCCGGUCUAAAGGUCAGGUCAUAAAUUUUAAUGUCCAGCAGGAGUUUGCUGCAGAGAGGUGAGCUGUUAGCAACAUGAACUCUUUGAUGUCAGUUUGGUGUCUGAUUUAAAUGAACUGUUUUUAUUGUGUUUCCUGGUCUCUAAAUUGCAUAUCUGUAGCAGUAUAAGUCUGUACAAGGUAUAAAAUAGGCACUUAAUGACUCUGAUUAGAACAGAUCAUGAAAGAAAUUAACGGUUCCAUGAACAAUAAGAAAAUCAUAGACAGACUAAAGCUUGACAUUGUCUUUGGGACAUUAUUUACAAGUAUAUCAAUGAUGCAAAAUGUAACUUAAAUCCAUUCCCGACUCCUGGCGGCAAAACACGCACUCAUACACAGAAAUGUGUAGGCAGUCCUUAGCUUAAGGUAAACUUUUCACAAAAUGAUAUAUCCAUGUUGCACUACCGGUUUUCACGCAAUGAUGCAGCGCUGACUGAAGCCCGAUCACGCUGUUAAGUGGGCAGCCCCAAGAUGGCGGAUAAUUAGUUGCAGCUGUGCAGCUCGGAUCAGCAACAGGUGUGUGCGGCCAGCCUCAGCGCAGGAACACUCUCAGGGACGCUCGUCAUCACUCGACGGUGAACAAUCCCAUCACGAGAGAGAGAGAGAGGGAGGGAGCAACCAAAACAACAACUUUUUCAGCUAUUUAUUAAUAAGUGGCUUUUAUGUGGAUAUAUGCCUGUAUAUAUGGUGCUAUUCUUAGUUAGUGUAUUGUCUGUCUCUGUUAAUGUUUGUUUAUAAUGCAGCACUGUAACGAAACACAAUUUCCCCCAAGGAUCAAUAAAGUAUUCUGAUUCUGAAACACACGGGCAGGCUGCCCGGCCAUG